rnacentral:tRNA from 1 species
GGAGUUAUGCCCGAAACCCAGGGGCCACUUUGAUAGAGUGAACUAUGGAGGUUAAAGUCCCCCUAACUCCU